rnacentral:lncRNA from 1 species
CGCGCGCGCCGCUGUGAGCGUCGGCCGAAAGAGAACUGAUCAAAAUGGCGGCUGCGUUAUUGUGAAAGGAAUUACGUCGCUACAUAUUGCGGAUUAAGACACAAUUUUCUCAUCUUAUCAAGCUUUAAUUAGUCUUAUUUUGUGCCAGCAAGUCUUCCUCAUGUUCUGCUACGAUAAAUAUCAUCGGAUGGAUGACGCGAGCGUUACGGCACGGAAGAUUAAAGUCCGAUAAAUCGUAUUUGUUGCUUGCAGCCCAUUUUAGCGACGGCAUCACAGCUACAGAAAUGUUCCUUCCGGGCGCAAUAGUUGCCCAAGGCCAAGCGGGCCCAGCCCUUCGGCUGUUUGGAAAGAAACAGAACAGAAACAAAACAGAAACUCCAUCAAAUCUGUUUUUGAAUACACGAUGCUCAGGAUCGGUUAGCGCAAAAUGCCUUGGAGAAUAUGUGAAUGUUCCGUCAGUUAAAAUUUACUGCUAUUCUUGGUUCCAAAAAACUCUCAAAAUUUAACAACUACCAACUUCGUUGUUUUGUCAGCUAAGAAGACCAUUUUAGCUACGUUUUAGUUUGUGGAAUAUUUUGUACAAACUUGUACUAUGGCGUCUUCAAUAUUCCUCGGUACUCUCGGUUGCACUUUUCGUUUGACUCGAAACGUGCCUUGCUUUAGAACCGGCAAAUCAGUAAAGGUUGGUUGGUUCUUUUCGUCUAGCCCUGAUCUAAAAAUGUCCGUGGGUGCUAUAUGAAUA